AAGACACAAGCGUGAAGUUGGCAUUAGCUGCGCUGGCACAAGACGCUCUGCUUAGGGGCAGCGGAUGAACAGCACCCAAGGGAGCAUGGGGAGCUGGGCAGCCAGUGCUG